GACGAACGCUGGCGGCGUGCUUAACGCAUGCAAGUCGAACGGUAAGGCCCUUCGGGGUACACGAGUGGCGAACGGGUGAGUAACACGUGGGUGAUCUGCCCUGCACUUCGGGAUAAGCCUGGGAAACUGGGUCUAAUACCGGAUAGGACCACUGCCUGCAUGGGUGGUGGUGGAAGGCUUUUGCGGUGUGGGAUGGGCCCGCGGCCUAUCAGCUUGUUGGUGGGGUGAUGGCCUACCAAGGCGACGACGGGUAGCCGGCCUGAGAGGGUGACCGGCCACACUGGGACUGAGAUACGGCCCAGACUCCUACGGGAGGCAGCAGUGGGGAAUAUUGCACAAUGGGCGCAAGCCUGAUGCAGCGACGCCGCGUGAGGGAUGACGGCCUUCGGGUUGUAAACCUCUUUCAGCACCGACGAAGCGCAAGUGACGGUAGGUGCAGAAGAAGGACCGGCCAACUACGUGCCAGCCGCCGCAGUAA
rnacentral:rRNA from 1 species